rnacentral:rRNA from 1 species
AGUGAACGCUGGCGGUAGGCCUAACACAUGCAAGUCGAACGGCAGCACAGUAAGAGCUUGCUCUUACGGGUGGCGAGUGGCGGACGGGUGAGGAAUACAUCGGAAUCUACUUUUUCGUGGGGGAUAACGUAGGGAAACUUACGCUAAUACCGCAUACGACCUACGGGUGAAAGCAGGGGAUCUUCGGACCUUGCGCGAUUGAAUGAGCCGAUGUCGGAUUAGCUAGUUGGCGGGGUAAAGGCCCAUCAAGGCGACGAUCCGUAGCUGGUCUGAGAGGAUGAUCAGCCACACUGGAACUGAGACACGGUCCAGACUCCUACGGGAGGCAGCAGUGGGGAAUAUUGGACAAUGGGCGCAAGCCUGAUCCAGCAAUACCGCGUGGGUGAAGAAGGCCUUCGGGUUGUAAAGCCCUUUUGUUGGGAAAGAAAAGCAGCAGGUUAAUACCCCGCUGUUCUGACGGUACCCAAAGAAUAAGCACCGGCUAACUUCGUG